CCUACGGGUGGCAGCAGUGAGGAAUAUUGGUCAAUGGGCGCGAGCCUGAACCAGCAAAGUAGCGUGAAGGAUGACUGCCCUACGGGUUGUAAACUUCUUUUAUAAAGGCAUAAAGUGAGGCACGUGUGCCUUGUUGUAUGUACUUUCUGAAUAAGGAUCGGCUAACUCAGUGCCAGCAGCCGCGGUAAUACGGAGGAUCCGAGCGUUAUCCGGAUUUAUUGGGUUUAAAGGGAGCGUAGAUGGGUUGUUAAGUCAGUUGUUAAAGUUUGCGGCUCAACCGUAAAAUUGCAAUUGAUACUGGCAGCCUUGAGUACAGUUGAGGUAGGCGGAAUUCGUGGUGUAGCGGUGAAAUGCUUAGAUAUCACGAAGAACUCCGAUUGCGAAAGCAGCUUACUAAGCUGCCACUGACAUUGAUGCUCGAAAGUGUGGGUAUCAAACAGGAUUAGAUACCCUAGUAGUC
rnacentral:rRNA from 1 species